rnacentral:rRNA from 1 species
AUGAGUAUCUUUGCUCAAUGGGUACAAAAUAUCCAUGCUACUGCGCCUGGCGUAACAGCUUCUGGUGCAACAACAAGUACUAGCUUAACGUGGGGAGCCAGCGAGUUAGUAGCAGUACGUGGCAAAGUGGCUUUGUUACCUAUUCCAUUAGGAACCGCAUUUUUUUUAGUCCAUCACAUUCAUGCAUAUACCAUACAAGUGAUUGUAUUAAUACUUUUGAAAGGUGUUUUAUUUGCUCGGAGUUCCCGUUUGAUACCCGAUAAAGCAAAUCUAGGUUUUCGCUUUCCUUGCGAUGGGCCUGGCCGAGGGGGGGCAUGUCAAGUAUCCGCCUGGGAUCAUGUUUUGUUAGGUUUAUUCUGGAUGUACAAUGCAAUUUCGGUAGUCAUUUUCAAUUUCAGUUGGAAAAUGCAGUUGGAUGUUUGGGGUACUAUAAGUGAUCAAGGGGUGGUAACUCAUAUUACAGGGCGGAAACUUUGCACAGAGUUCCAUUACGAUUAA